UAGCAUAUCAAUAAGCGGAGGAAAAGAAACCAACAGGGAUUGCCUCAGUAACGGCGAGUGAAGCGGCAAGAGCUCAAAUUUGAAAGCUGGCCCCUUCGGGGUCCGCAUUGUAAUUUGCAGAGGAUGCUUCGGGAGCGGCCCCCAUCUAAGUGCCCUGGAACGGGCCGUCAUAGAGGGUGAGAAUCCCGUCUGGGAUGGGGUGCCCGCGCCCGUGUGAAGCUCCUUCGACGAGUCGAGUUGUUUGGGAAUGCAGCUCUAAAUGGGUGGUAAAUUUCAUCUAAAGCUAAAUACUGGCCGGAGACCGAUAGCGCACAAGUAGAGUGAUCGAAAGAUGAAAAGCACUUUGAAAAGAGAGUUAAACAGCACGUGAAAUUGUUGAAAGGGAAGCGCUUGCGACCAGACUCGCUCGCGGGGUUCAGCCGGCCUUCGGGCCGGUGUACUUCCCCGCGGGCGGGCCAGCGUCGGUUUGGGCGGCCGGUCAAAGGCCCUCGGAAUGUAACGCCCCCCGGGGCGUCUUAUAGCCGAGGGUGCCAUGCGGCCAGCCCGGACCGAGGAACGCGCUUCGGCUCGGACGCUGGCAUAAUGGUCGUAAGCGACCCGUCUUGAAACACGGACCAAGGAGUCUAACAUCUACGCGAGUGUUCGGGUGUCAAACCCGUGCGCGCAGUGAAAGCGAACGGAGGUGGGAACCCCUCGGGGUGCACCAUCGACCGAUCCUGAUGUCUUCGGAUGGAUUUGAGUAAGAGCGUAGCUGUUGGGACCCGAAAGAUGGUGAACUAUGCCUGAAUAGGGCGAAGCCAGAGGAAACUCUGGUGGAGGCUCGCAGCGGUUCUGACGUGCAAAUCGAUCGUCAAAUUUGGGUAUAGGGGCGAAAGACUAAUCGAACCAUCUAGUAGCUGGUUCCUGCC
rnacentral:rRNA from 1 species